UGUGCGAGGGAGGCCGGGAGGGGUCCCUGGGCGGGGAGUUGCUGCGCAUCUGUUGUGUGUGUGCGUCUGUCUGUCUGUUCAGGCUGCGUCGGUCUGUCUGUCUGGGUCUGUUUCAGGCUGUGUCUGUCUGUCUGUCUGGGUCUGUUUCAGGCUGUGUCUGUCUGUCUGUCCGGGUCUGUUUCAGGCUGUAUGUGUGUCUGCUCUUUGCUUCUGCUCCUGGCUCUGUGUGUAUUUCCCGGGUCCUGUGGCCCUCUU
rnacentral:lncRNA from 1 species